rnacentral:rRNA from 1 species
AUGAGUACGCUACCAGGGGCGUGGCAUGUCGCGGCGGCGUGGGAGCAGGUCCGCGGCCCGGUGAUCGUGCCGCUGCUGCGCGCGUCCGUGCUGCUCUGCCUCGCCAUGUCCGCGAUGCUGUUCGCGGAGAAGGUGUACAUGGCCGUGGUCGUCCUCGCGGUGCGGCUGCUGGGCCGCCGUCCCGAGCGGCAAUACCAGUGGGAACCCAUGGGCGACGACGACCCCGAGCUCGGCAGCGCUGCCUACCCCAUGGUCCUCGUCCAGAUCCCCAUGUACAACGAGCGCGAGGUGUACCAGUUGUCGAUCGGUGCGGCGUGCGGGCUCUCCUGGCCGUCCGAUCGGAUCGUCGUCCAGGUGCUCGAUGACUCCACAGAUCCCGUCAUCAAGGAGCUGGUGCGGGUGGAGUGCCGGCGCUGGGCGAGGAAGGGCGUGAACAUCAAGUACGAGAUCCGGGACAACCGGCGCGGGUACAAGGCCGGCGCACUCAAGGAAGGCAUGAAGCACGGCUACGUCAAGGACUGCGACUUGGUGGCCAUCUUCGACGCCGACUUCCUGUGGCGCGCCGUCCCCUUCCUCGUCCACAACCCCGACAUCGCCCUCGUCCAGGCUCGCUGGAAAUUCGUGAAUGCAGAUGAAUGCUUGAUGACAAGGAUGCAGGAGAUGUCCUUGGACUAUCACUUUAAGGUGGAGCAAGAAGUGGGCUCCUCGACCUAUGCCUUCUUUGGAUUCAAUGGAACCGCUGGUGUGUGGCGCAUAUCUGCUCUGAACGAGGCAGGUGGCUGGAAGGACCGAACCACAGUUGAAGACAUGGACCUGGCAGUCCGAGCCAGUCUCAAGGGAUGGAAAUUUGUGUAUCUUGGUGAUCUCAAGGUAAAAAAUGAGCUCCCAAGUACGUUCAAAGCAUUUCGGUACCAGCAACAUAGAUGGUCGUGCGGGCCCGCAAAUCUGUUCAGAAAAAUGGUGAUGGAGAUCAUCAGAAAUAAGAAAGUGACUCUUUGGAAGAAAAUCCAUGUCGUCUACAGCUUCUUCUUGGUGCGCAAGGUUGUCGCGCACAUUGUGACCUUUGUGUUCUAUUGCCUUGUUAUCCCGGCCACGGUCUUAGUUCCCGAGGUUGAGGUACCAAAGUGGGGUUGUGUCUAUAUUCCAACUAUUAUCACCCUUCUCAAUGCUGUUGGGACUCCAAGGUCUGUUCACUUAGUUGUCUUUUGGGUACUAUUUGAGAAUGUCAUGUCAUUGCAUAGAGCAAAGGCCACCUUCAUCGGUCUAUUGGAAGUGGGCACAGUGAACGAAUGGGUGGUAACCGAAAAGCUUGGUGACACUCUGAAGGCUAAAAUGCCAAGUAAAGCUUUGAGAAAGCUGAGAAUGAGGAUAGGAGAAAGGUUGCAUCUUUGGGAGCUUGGUGUUGCAGCCUACCUCUUCCUUUGCGGGUGCUACGACAUAUCAUUUGGGAACAAUCGUUACUUCAUCUUUCUCUUUAUGCAAUCCAUUGCAUUCUUCAUCGUCGGUGUGGGCUAUGUCGGGACAUUUGUUGCACAAUGA